GCACGGGGCAUGCUUCUUCACAAAAUUGGAUCUCAGGAGUGCGUACAAUCUGGUGCGUUUUCGGAAGGGUGAUGAGCGGAAGAUGGCUUUUAGCACCACCUCAGGUCAUUAUGAGUACCGCGUCAUGCUAUAUGGGUUGAUGAAUGCUCCAUCAGUCUUCCAAUCAUUUGUAGAUGAGAUCUUCAGGGACCUGCACGGGCAGUAGUGGUGUAUAUCGAUGAUAUUCUGAUAUCCUCCACUACACGCGCCGAGCAUGUGUCCCUGGUGCGCAGGGUGCUUGGUCGCCUGUUGGAGCAUGAUCUAUAUGUCAAGGCUGAGAAAUGCUUGUUCUUCCAACAAUCCAUCUCCUUCCUAGGGCAUCGGAUUUCCACUUCAGGAGUGGAAAUGGAGAGCGACUGCAUUGCAGCCGUGCGUAAUUGGCCGACUCCAACCACGGUAAAGGAGGUGCAGCGUUUUUUAGGGUUUGCCAAUUACUACCAGAGGUUUAUCCGGGGUUUUGGUCAGGUUGCUGCUCCCAUUACCUCACUGCUAAAGGGGGGUCCGGUGCGCUUGCAGUGGUCGGCUGAGGCGAACAGGGCUUUUGGACACCUGAAGACUCUGUUUACCUCGGUGCCUGUGUUGGCUCAUCCGGAUCCCUCUUUGCCAUUCAUAGUGAAGGUGGACGCAUCUGAAGCUGGGAUAGGAGCAGUGCUCUCUCAACGUUCGGGUACGCCACUGAAGCUUUGCCCCUGUGCUUUCUUUUCGAAGAAGCUCAGCCCGGCGGAGCGACACUAUGAUGUAGGUGACCGGGAGCUGUUAGCUGUCGUAAAAGCCUUGAAGCGUGGAGGCAUUGGCUUGAGGGGGCUAAACACCCUUUUCUCAGCUGGACUGACCACCGCAAUCUGGAGUACAUCCGGCAGGCGAAGAGACUGAAUCCUCGCCAGGCAAGGUGGACCAUGUUUUUACUUGUUUUGUGUUUACUCUUUCUUACAGACCAGGCUCCCAGAACGUUAAGGCAGACGCAUUGUCUCAGCUGUAUGAGACAGAGGAGCGGUCCAUGGAUCCUACUCCCAGCUUCGUGUUUGGUGCCAGUAGUGUGGGAGCUGGACGCGGACAUUGAGCGGGCGUCACGUGCAGAGCCCUCUCCUCCUGAGUAUCCAGCUGGUUGUCCUGUAUGUUCCGUCUGCUGUCCGCGACCGAUUGAUCUAUUGGGCUCACACGUCACCCUCCUCUGGUCAUCCUGGGAUAGGUCGGACGAUGCGCUGGCUUGAUGGGAGGUACUGGUGGCCCACUUUAGCUAAGGACGUGAGGAUUUAUGUUUCCUCCUGCUCGGUGUGCGCCCAGUGCAAGGCUCCUAGACACCUGCCCAGAGGUAAGCUACAACCUUUACCAGUUCCUCAACUGCCGUGGUCGCACCGGUCGGUGGAUUUUUUUUGACUUAUCUUCCACCUUCACAGGGUUACACCACAAUCCUGGUUGUUGUGGAUCGUUUUUUCUAAGUCCUGUCGUCUCCUCCCUUUGCCUGGUCUCCCUACGGCCUUACAAACUGCAGAGGCCCUGUUUACACACGUUUUCUGGCACUAUGGGGUGCCUGAGGAUAUAGUGUCUGAUCGGGGUCCCCAGUUCACAUCAAGGGUCUGGAAGGCGUUCAUGGAACAUCUGGGGAUCUCGGCCGGUGGUGGCUGGCCCGCUCCAGGAGGCUGAAGUACGUGAUGUUCCUCCGCCUCCUCUAGAUAUCGAGGGGGUCCCGGCGUACUCUGUUCGAUCCAUUUUGGAUUCGAGACGUCGGGUGAGGGGCCUUCAGUACCUCGUGGACUGGGAGGGGUACGGGCCGGAGGAGAGAUGCUGGGUUCCGGUGGAGGACGUGUUAAUCCUUCCAUGUUAAAAGAAUUCCACCGUCUCCAUCCGGAUUGCCCUGCACCUCGCCCUCCGGGUUGUCCCCGAGGCCAGUGUCGACGCGCGGCUGGGGGGGGUAGUGUCACGACUUCUGCCGAAGUCGUUAACCUCUCCUUGUUCGGGCGGUGCUCGGCGGUCGACGUCACCGCCCUUCUAGCCAUCAUUGAUCCAUUUUUCAUUUUCCAUUGGUUUUGUCUUCCCACACACCUGUUUUCAAUCCCAU
ensembl:lncRNA